rnacentral:rRNA from 1 species
GACGAACGCUGGCGGCGUGCUUAACACAUGCAAGUCGAACGGCAAGGCCCUGCUUUUGUGGGGUGCUCGAGUGGCGAACGGGUGAGUAACACGUGCGUAACCUGCCCUUGACUUUGGGAUAACUUCAGGAAACUGGGGCUAAUACCGGAUAUGCGCUCCUGCUGCAUGGUGGGGGUUGGAAAGUUUCGGCGGUUGGGGCUGGACUCGCGGCUUAUCAGCUUGUUGGUGGGGUAGCGGCUUACCAAGGCUUUGACGGGUAGCCGGCCUGUGAGGGUGACCAGCCACAUUGGGACUGAGAUACGGCCGAGACUCCUACGGGAGGCAGCAGUGGGGAAUAUUGCACAAUGGGCGGAAGCCUGAUGCAGCAACGCCGCGUGCGGGAUGACGGCCUUCGGGUUGUAAGCCGCUUUGGCCUGUGACGAAGCGUGAGUGACGGUAAUGGGUAAAGAAGCACCGGCUAACUACGUG